AGAGUUUGAUCCUGGCUCAGGGUGAACGCUGGCGGCGUGCCUAAGACAUGCAAGUCGUGCGGGCCGCGGGGUUUUACUCCGUGGUCAGCGGCGGACGGGUGAGUAACGCGUGGGUGACCUACCCGGAAGAGGGGGACAACCCGGGGAAACUCGGGCUAAUCCCCCAUGUGGACCCGCCCCUUGGGGUGUGUCCAAAGGGCUUUGCCCGCUUCCGGAUGGGCCCGCGUCCCAUCAGCUAGUUGGUGGGGUAAUGGCCCACCAAGGCGACGACGGGUAGCCGGCCUGAGAGGAUGGCCGGCCACAGGGGCACUGAGACACGGGCCCGACUCCUACGGGAGGCAGCAGUUAGGAAUCUUCCGCAAUGGGCGCAAGCCUGACGGAGCGACGCCGCUUGGAGGAAGAAGCCCUUCGGGGUGUAAACUCCUGAACCCGGGACGAAACCCCCGACGAGGGGACUGACGGUACCGGGGUAAUAGCGCCGGCCAACUCCGUGCCAGCAGCCGCGGUAAUACGGAGGGCGCGAGCGUUACCCGGAUUCACUGGGCGUAAAGGGCGUGUAGGCGGCCUGGGGCGUCCCAUGUGAAAGACCACGGCUCAACCGUGGGGGAGCGUGGGAUACGCUCAGGCUAGACGGUGGGAGAGGGUGGUGGAAUUCCCGGAGUAGCGGUGAAAUGCGCAGAUACCGGGAGGAACGCCGAUGGCGAAGGCAGCCACCUGGUCCACCCGUGACGCUGAGGCGCGAAAGCGUGGGGAGCAAACCGGAUUAGAUACCCGGGUAGUCCACGCCCUAAACGAUGCGCGCUAGGUCUCUGGGUCUCCUGGGGGCCGAAGCUAACGCGUUAAGCGCGCCGCCUGGGGAGUACGGCCGCAAGGCUGAAACUCAAAGGAAUUGACGGGGGCCCGCACAAGCGGUGGAGCAUGUGGUUUAAUUCGAAGCAACGCGAAGAACCUUACCAGGCCUUGACAUGCUAGGGAACCCGGGUGAAAGCCUGGGGUGCCCCGCGAGGGGAGCCCUAGCACAGGUGCUGCAUGGCCGUCGUCAGCUCGUGCCGUGAGGUGUUGGGUUAAGUCCCGCAACGAGCGCAACCCCCGCCGUUAGUUGCCAGCGGUUCGGCCGGGCACUCUAACGGGACUGCCCGCGAAAGCGGGAGGAAGGAGGGGACGACGUCUGGUCAGCAUGGCCCUUACGGCCU
rnacentral:rRNA from 1 species